rnacentral:lncRNA from 1 species
UGAAUUAUAAUAUAGUUAAACGAGAUAUAAUAUAAUUAUAAUAUUCCUAAACCACCAUAUACUUGCAACUAAAUAUAUGGAUGGCCUUUUAAAACAUUUAUCCAUCGUAUAUUCCUUUGAUGGAUCAUCCACCAUUAUGCUACCCAACACGAUUCAGCAGCCAUGAAUGAUUUAUCCAUAUAUAUAUAUCCAAUACAGUUUAAGGUUAUAACCCCCUUUAGAUUUUCUUUUUCUAAAUAAUAUUUCUGUAAACUGUUUCACUUUCAAAUAGAAUUCUAUAUAACAUACAAUUUUACUGAUUAAUAUUAAGCAAAAUAUAUUGGUUGUAAUUAAUUUUAUUGUAAAUGAUGAUUGAAAAUAGAAUGAUUUCGUUUGCCCUUGUACCCACGAAGGGCUAUAUAUUGUUGAUAUAUAUAUAUACACUACAGGAACAUGGCCGGUAGGAGAUCUGAAAAAGAUGAACACUACAUAUAUAUAUAUAUAUAUAGAGAGAGCCCGUAUGCCAUGUCAAGUGACAGUCAGGCUGAGAUUCUUACAAAAAUGGAACACUACUAAUUUAUAUCUUACGAACAAUUUGCUUCCGUCGUUCUUUUCUACUGAAGGACUGAUCUCAUAUGUAUACAUAUAUAUAUAUAUACCUACACAACAAAAGAUAUACGCCGUAUAUAUUACAAUUGAUAAGGCCAAAAAGCUCUACAAGAUCAAAAUAGGAAACAAAUAUAGAGAACAAUUAGUAGAUCGCGUCAGAAAAACCUAGAAGAUCAAAAGAGGACAAGAAAGCAGAAGAGAACCUGAAAUCACAGGUCACACAAAAUUUGAAAGUUAUGAAACUGAAGACCAGCCAGCUGCAACCCUUGAUGCGUAUAUACAUAUAUACACACACACAUAUAAUGAGCACAACCUGAUAUAUAGUAGCUAACUAGCGAACUUUCCCUUAAUUAAUAACUGGUUUUAACAUGAUUGUUUUUG